UACGGGGGGGGGCAAGCGUUGUUCGGAAUUACUGGGCGUAAAGGGCUCGUAGGCGGCCAACUAAGUCGGACGUGAAAUCCCCAGGCUCAACCUGGGAACUGCGUCCGAUACUGGAUGGCUUGAAUCCGGGAGAGGGAUGCAGAAUUCCAGGUGUAGCGGUGAAAUGCGUAGAUAUCUGGAGGAACAUCGGUGGCGAAGGCGGCAUCCUGGACCGGUAUUGACGCUGAGGCGCGAAAGCCAGGGGAGCAAACGGG
rnacentral:rRNA from 1 species